AUGGGAAAGAAACCUGGAAAGGUAGGGAGGUAUGGAUAUGGACAAGCUAUGCCAAGGAGCAGGGCUUUGUCAUGGAGAGUGACUAGGUGCUUUUACAUAGGAAAGUCACCUGAUAAUAUUAAAACCUGUGAAAUAUCACUCUGGUGGAAGUGUGAAUGAAUUUGAAAGGGGUGUAACACUGUUCUACUUUGUUUACUCCUCAGUACCCUUGGCUGUGUACAUUUGAGUAAAGAGAGCACUAUAAAAUCAAAAACCAAUGAAAUGGUUUCCAGAACACAGAACUAUUAAGCUUAAGAAAAGGACAGAAGGAACUGAAGAGAGAGGAACUGUUUUGGAGCAUCACACUUCCACCUCAGAAGAAAUAAGGAAGGAAGGAGGAGGGUGUUCCCACGGCUCUUCAACCAGGCCGGCUCUUCAGCCUACAUCCCCAUCUCAUCAAGUAAAAGGGAUUUUUCAACUGGACCAACCAGAUGGUUUAACAGUGCACUCCCACACCAUUCAACUACGCAAGGGAGAUACACUUAACAUAUGCAGUCGUAUAACACCUACUAACAUUUUCAAACAUUAAACCUUUAAAAAAGAGUUCUAAAGAAAUAGAAGCUUGAAGUAUCAUCUCUCAAGUAUAUAGACACUACUUCAUGGUGUGGUAAUAUAUGCAUAUAGAAGCUAGUAAACACCUCCAGGAGAUGCAAAAGGAAUUAGAACUGCCACAAGGUGCAAGCAAAACCUUGAGAUAUUCUGCCCAAUCAGAGGCUAACAUCUGCCACAAGACAAAUAUGGUGCCUGCCCCCAUGGAGCUCAUAUUCGAAUGGAGAAAAUGUCAACAAGUAUCCCACGGAGUGAACACUUCAAAAGGAGAAGCACAGGUGAGAAAAUCGAAUUUGGACACCGUUGAGGAGACUAUUGCAGUCAUCCAAGCUCAAGAUGGUGGAGCUUCAUCCUUGAGAAUAACCAAUGGGGAUAGAUUUAAGAGACACUUAGAGUCUGCAGCCAACAGGGCUGAAUGAGCAGAGAGUUAUGAUUCAGAAGAUCAUCUAAAAUUGAACAGCUGCCACUACUGGCAAUAAGUCUACUGCCAUUUGGUAGAUAACCUUCUUAUCACACAGAAAAAUAUCAGUACAGACAAAUAGACCGCAAAGAAAAUGAGACCAUCAGCAAAGAAGAUAAAGAAGUUUGUACAAAGCAACUUUUUAUAAAUGGAUGGCUGUCAGGCAAAAAUAAAUUUCCUGUGGACAAGACCAAGAGCAAGGCAAGAGGAAAAUAAACAUGUUUAAACUA
ensembl:lncRNA LINC00343 long intergenic non-protein coding RNA 343